rnacentral:rRNA from 1 species
GUCCAGACUCCUACGGGAGGCAGCAGUGGGGAAUAUUGCACAAUGGGGGAAACCCUGAUGCAGCGACGCCGCGUGAGUGAAGAAGUAUUUCGGUAUGUAAAGCUCUAUCAGCAGGGAAGAAGAAGGACGGUACCUGAGUAAGAAGCCCCGGCUAACUACGUGCCAGCAGCCGCGGUAAUACGUAGGGGGCAAGCGUUAUCCGGAUUCACUGGGUGUAAAGGGAGCGUAGACGGCGACGCAAGUCUGGAGUGAAAGCCCGGGGCCCAACCCCGGGACUGCUCUGGAAACUGCGUCGCUGGAGUACGGGAGGGGCAGGCGGAAUUCCUGGUGUAGCGGUGAAAUGCGUAGAUAUCAGGAGGAACACCGGCGGCGAAGGCGGCCUGCUGGACCGUGACUGACGUUGAGGCUCGAGAGCGUGGGGAGCAAACAGGAUUAGAUACCCUCGUAAG